AUGGAUGGCGGCAGUUCUGCGGAUGGAGACGGCGUCGCGGACGACGGCCAUGGCGCGGCUGCGGACGUGUCAUGGCUUGCCGAUGGCACCGGCGGGGCUGAGGUCAGGUCAAUCCAGGGCGUCGGGCUAGCCUCGGGCUGCGGUGGGGUUGAGCCAGCAUCGGGCCAGGCCGGAGACUUGGCUACAGCUGGCUCGGGCCUGGCCGGUGGCUCGGCUGCAGCUGGCUCGGGCCAGGGCGUGGAAGUGGCUGGGGUCUCCGGCGAGGGCAUGGCUGGGUCGUUCUUGGCAGCAGCUUCAGGCCAGGACGGUACUCAGUUGCCGCCAGCAACAUGGGCGUGUCCAGAUGGGAUGGAUCCAAAUUCGAGUUAUUUGCUCAAAAUUAAAUUGUUUGGCAACCCAAAGAAAGCUCGAAAGGACAUAAAAUGUUUUUGUUUUGAGAAGGUCAUCGAUUGUGACUUGACAAAUUAUAAGGAUUUGGUCGAGUCAAUUGUAGAGCAGUACCCGCCGCGUUAUUUGGAAGUUGCACAUGUAAUUGUCCAUGGAGGAUAG
rnacentral:rRNA from 1 species